rnacentral:rRNA from 1 species
CUGUCGUCAGCUCGUGUCGUGAGAUGUUGGGUUAAGUCCCGUAACGAGCGCAACCCUUGUCCUUAGUUACCAGCACGUUAAGGUGGGCACUCUAAGGAGACUGCCGGUGACAAACCGGAGGAAGGUGGGGAUGACGUCAAGUCAUCAUGGCCCUUACGGCCUGGGCUACACACGUGCUACAAUGGUCGGUACAAAGGGUUGCCAAGCCGCGAGGUGGAGCUAAUCCCAUAAAACCGAUCGUAGUCCGGAUCGCAGUCUGCAACUCGACUGCGUGAAGUCGGAAUCGCUAGUAAUCGUGAAUCAGAAUGUCACGGUGAAUACGUUCCCGGGCCUU